CAAAAGCGUAUAUUAAAGUUGUUGCAGUUAAAAAGCUCGUAGUUGAACCUUGGGCUUGGCUGGCCGGUCCAUCUUUUUUGAUGCGUACUGGACCCAGCCGAGCCUUUCCUUCUGGCUAGCCUUUUGGCGAACCAGGACUUUUACUUUGAAAAAAUUAGAGUGUUCAAAGCAGGCCUUUGCUCGAAUAUAUUAGCAUGGAAUAAUAGAAUAGGACGUUAUGGUUCCAUUUUGUUGGUUUCUAGGACCAUCGUAAUGAUUAAUAGGGACGGUCGGGGGUAUCAGUAUUCAGUUGUCAGAGGUGAAAUUCUUGGAUUUACUGAAGACUAACUACUGCGAAAGCAUUUACCAAGGACGUUUUCAUUAA
rnacentral:rRNA from 1 species